GUUGAGGACCAGUUCCUGAGAACACAAAGCUCAUCACACACUGGACUGCUUUAUUGGCUGGAGACCAGGGCACGAGGGCUCGGAGAUGGACACGUCCGUGCUGUGGUGACAAACAUCCGCACCUGGCGAUGAGAGAUGAUGGAGUCAAAAUAACUGCUCUGCUUCUGCUGUAUGUAUCUUGGAGCUGGAUUUUUCUAUGAAGUCUGUGGAAGCUUGUUACCAUGUUAAAUGCCCAGCUUUCAUUAAAUCCACACCUGAAGGGUUUGUUGUCCUAGUCAUGUGACUUUUCUGCCCAACCAAAACUCCUUUGAGGUACCUGGUUUUUGCUGCUUUUGCUUCAGCAUCCUAGAAGUUCCAGAGUCUUCUUGACUUCUACUUUAUGGGAGUUAUUGCACUCAGAUAAGCUGCAAUUCUAAAGAAUAAUCAGCUGCUUGCAAGAAUAUUUUGGCUGACGUCCCUGUGAUUCUGUGUUGUUAUUUUGUUUUACUAUUUCAAAAUAUUCUGUUAGGUUUCAGCUCCUACAAACUAUUUAGAGGCAUCCUCCAGACCUUUGUCCAUCUUUAAAAAAGAUAGUUUGCUUGGGCUGCAUGAUUCAUGGGACUGCUGCUUUUUGGGAUGAAGACUCACAGAAGACUUAAGUGAGGAAGAGAGCCUGGAUAACUCACAAACGCUAAAGAUUCUGAUCACAUCCAGCAGUUUGUCAAACCAAGCGUUUUUCUUGGGAAGGGGGAGUCUCCCAGGAGCACAUUCGUUCCCCCGGUCUCUGCAGGACUCACUGGUUUCACGAGGAGACCGCUGCGCUUCCAGGUGCCUGGAGACUGCCCCCCUCCCUGUUUCCCAGAAGGUGCUGCCAUUUGUUUCCAUGCUCCUCUGGCCAAGCCCUGGUUGAGCACAGCCAACUGGGCCCAGUGGGAGCAGCGGCAGCGCUCCACGUCCUGCUGGGUUUGCGCAACACUGCAACUUCUUGUCUGGGGCAAAAGGGACACAAGAGGACUCUCAUUCCUAGUUUAACUACUGUGGGACAUAUGUCAUGGGUAGCACAUCCCAAAGAGAUGCUUUCAGCCACCAAAGAGAACGGUUAUGUCAUUGCCAGCAGGGGUUGGGCUUGGUGUGCCUCCCUUGGGAUGUCCCCUCUCCAGUUGGGAAGUCCUGGCAUGGCAGGUAGCAGCCAAGCUGCUCCACUUUUGGUACCUGACCACAGACCUCCCAGACUGUGGUGUUCCUGGCUGGUUUGGAGCCAGUAGGAAUAGUAGAACCAGAGAUAUCAUAAUUUACUUUUUUAGCUCAUUACCACCUCCAUUGCACAAGAGUAAUUCCAUUAUGGCUGAUGUAAUGGCCAACCAAGUCCUUGGGCUAAUGGGCUGAACUGUGCCUUGGCUGUAAACUGCAGGCUUACAGAGGAAGCCUCAAUGCUCUCAUUUUGUAUUUGUCCAUGGGAAAGCAAAUGAAAAUAUAUCAUUGUUCUCAAGAUUGCUGAAAGAAGCAAGUCUUUUUUAAAAAUUUUAUUUCUACAGCCAUGAAUAGUAAAUUUCCCUCAUUCAUGACUGGUUUAAAAAGAGUUUGCUGACUAACCAGAUCUGAAGAACUUUCUCUCCCAACAAGUAUUGCAGUAAGAAAAUUGUUUGUGUUUUUAUUACUUUCUCAAUAUUUUUGCUAUCCUCUUUCCCAAGACACGAUUAGAUUUUCCAGUCUUCUGGACAUCAAAGAUUUUGGAGUAGAGAUUGUAUAAACUGGAUAGGUAACAGCUGUUACCAGAUGGAUUUACUGUUGGAAAGGGGAGAGGGCUAAUUUGUUUUAUGUGUUUCCUCCCACUGCUGGCACCUUUCACUGUGGCACACUGUUUCUGUCCUGUGACAUGGAGUGUCCCUGCACAGAGGGAGGCCUUGUCCAGAAGAUUACACCUAACUUUAGGUUUCACUGUUGGUUAUAAGCGCCUUCUUCAUAGCUCUUAUACCUGGUCCUCCAGUAGUUUAUUAGAGAGAAAAAAAAUAAGAGAGCAGCUCUAAUAUUGUUAGAUUAUAGCACUGAUUGACAGAUUUUCAUUGCUAACCUUUUCAAGUCAGAAGGUCUAAUUUGCUUCACUUCGGGAUAUUUCAGGACACUUACAGUUGGAUUUAUUUUUGUAAAAUAAAUAAUUGAAUCCCUCAAGAAAGGUCGCAGUACCAAAGGAGAGUUUCAUCUGCAUCAUCUCAUGUGCCCUUCUAUUUAACAUGGGAACAAACAUUUGCAUGAAUCCUCUUUAUUUCUUCAUCUAGUGUAAAAUUCCUUGUGUUCCUCUUUUAGAUUGCUGACUGUUUAAGAAAGGUCAUAGAGGGGAAAUGGUGACUUGUAGUAUUGUAACUGGUAAAAGAGACUGUGUGCAUGUAUAACAACCUGAUUUUUGCAUAUUGCUAUACCAACAAUAUCUGAUCCCAUUCAGAUAACAGUAAAGCAGCCUACAGCUUUGACCAGGUUCAAAGAAACUCACAUUGCUUGUUCUUUUCUUUCUUAUUUUAGGUUU